GAUGAACGCUAGCUACAGGCUUAACACAUGCAAGUCGAGGGGCAGCGGGAUUGAAGCUUGCUUCAAUUGCCGGCGACCGGCGCACGGGUGAGUAACGCGUAUCCAACCUUCCGUACACUCAGGGAUAGCCUUUCGAAAGAAAGAUUAAUACCUGAUGGUAUGAUGAGAUCGCAUGGUAUCAUCAUUAAAGAUUUAUCGGUGUACGAUGGGGAUGCGUUCCAUUAGGUAGUAGGCGGGGUAACGGCCCACCUAGCCUACGAUGGAUAGGGGUUCUGAGAGGAAGGUCCCCCGCAUUGGAACUGAGACACGGUCCAAAACUCCUACGGGAGGCAGCAGUGAGGAAUAUUGGUCAAAUGGACGAGAGUCUGAACCAGCCAAGUAGCGUGAAGGAUGAAGGUUCUAAUGGAUUGUAAACUUCUUUAUACGGAAUAAACGGAUCCACGUGUGGAUUUUUGCAUGUACCGUAUGAAUAAGGAUCGGCUAACUCCGUGCCAGCAGCC
rnacentral:rRNA from 1 species